rnacentral:rRNA from 1 species
AUACGGAGGAUCCGAGCGUUAUCCGGAUUUAUUGGGUUUAAAGGGAGCGUAGGUGGAUUGUUAAGUCAGUUGUGAAAGUUUGCGGCUCAACCGUAAAAUUGCAGUUGAAAAUGGCAGUCUUGAGUACAGUAGAGGUGGGCGGAAUUCGUGGGGUAGCGGUGAAAUGCUUAGAUAUCACGAAGAACUCCGAUUGCGAAGGCAGCUCACUAGACUGUUACUGACACUGAUGCUCGAAAGUGUGGGUAUCAAACAGGAUUAGAUACCCUGGUAGUCCACACAGUAAACGAUGAAUACUCGCUGUUUGCGAUAUACAGUAAGCGGCCAAGCGAAAGCAUUAAGUAUUCCACCUGGGGAGUACGCCGGCAACGGUGAAACUCAAAUGAAUUGGCGGGG